UUUCAUUGGUUUGCCGAGCAUGUCUGUCACCCCCCCCCCCCCCCCGGCCCAGCCCCCUCUGCGCCGACGGCCAACUUCCUGCUCUAAGUUACCUUGAGCGGCAGCGUUAGGGGUCAGGGGAAAGAAAAAGAGGAAGAGAAAAGCACGGAGAAGAGAAAAGUCAAGUGUGAGGAAGCUCUGGCAAGAAAUGGGACAGAAAAAAGCAAAGUGGUGAAGGACGCAGCAGAUAAAACUCCCGGGAUAUUCCCUGUUUCUAUUUGGGUGACGAGCCUGGGGACCGACUAGCGCGCAGCUUCUUCCUGUGUGCAGCACAAGAUGGCCGCCCGCAAAAAAAGGCCUGCAGAGACACCGGCAAGGUCACGGCGGACGGCAAACCUUCCCAUGACCUGCAGCGGCGACGUGUUUAGAGAUAAACAUGCAGCAUACAGGUUGCACCUUUUGGUAAACACACACCAUGGGGGCAAAGCUGACUUUCAUUGCAUAUUUUGGUCCUUAAAAAAUGCUGACACCAACAAUAAAGUAAUAAAACG